rnacentral:rRNA from 1 species
UACGUAGGGUGCGAGCGUUGUCCGGAAUUACUGGGCGUAAAGAGCUCGUAGGUGGUUUUGUCGCGUUGUUCGUGAAAUCUCACGGCUUAACUGUGAGCGUGCGGGCGAUACGGGCAGACUAGAGUACUGCAGGGGGAGACUGGAAUUCCUGGUGUAGCGGUGGAAUGCGCAGAUAUCAGGAGGAACACCGGUGGCGAAGGCGGGUCUCUGGGCAGUAACUGACGCUGAGGAGCGAAAGCGUGGGGAGCGAACAGG